AUCCUGUCUCAGAAUUUUGGCUAAGAUAUAUCAAAUGUAGCAUCUGUUCUUAUCAGCUUAAUAUCUGAUACAUCCUCUGUCGGAGGACAACAUAGUAAAUGGAUUUUUGGAGAUGGGAGUUGAAAUAGGAGCUUGCUUGGUCCACUCCAUGCAUCGCCCUGGUAUUGCAGUAUGUCCAGGAAAGGUACACUCCUU